CUUGAUGGUAGUGUAUUGGACCCACCUUGAUUGUAACGGGUACGGAGAAUUAGGGUUCGAUUCCAGAGAGGGAGCCUGAGAAACGGCUACCACUUCCAAGGAAGGCAGCAGGCGCGCAAAUUACCCAAUCUCAAUACGAGGAGGUAGUGAAUAAAAAUAACAAUCCAGAGCUUGUUAAAAGUUUUGGAAUUGGAAUGAGAACAAUGUAAAUACCUUAACGAGGAACAAUUGGAGGGCAAGUCUGGUGCCAGCAGCCGCGGUAAUUCCAGCUCCAAUAGCGUAUGCUAAAGUUGUUGCAGUUAAAAAGCUCGUAGUCGGAUUUUUCGUUGUCUACUUUGAAGGUUGCUUCUUUUGGUGGGGAAAUCUCUCCACCGGGCAAUCAGUAGGCAAUAUCAUUUUUGGUAAAUUUCUGGUUGUCCAUUCACUUGGGCAGCUAUAAAAAGUGUGGGCGCAAGUCUGCACUGAAAUUACCAAUCUUUUACUGUGAAGAAACUUGAGUGUUCAAAGCAAGCAUUCUCCUGCCUGAAAAAUUCAGCAUGGGAUAAUGAAAUAGGCUUACGCGUCUAUUUUUGCCGGUUUUCGGACUUUUGCGUGAGAAUGGUCGAUAGGGGCGAUCGGGGACACUCGUACCCAGCGGUCAGAGGUGAAAUUCUUGGAUUCGCGGGAGACGAACUUAUGCGAAAGCGUUUGUCAAGGGCGCUUUCUUUGAUCAAGAACGAAAGUUAGGGGAUCAAAGACGAUCAGAUACCGU
rnacentral:rRNA from 1 species